UGGGGAAUAUUGGGCAAUGGGCGAAAGCCUGACCCAGCAACGCCGCGUGAAGUAUGAAGGCCUUCGGGUUGUAAACUUCUUUGAUCAGGGAAGAAACAAAUGACGGUACCUGAAAAACAAGCCACGGCUAACUACGUGCCAGCAGCCGCGGUAAUACGUAGGUGGCGAGCGUUAUCCGGAUUUACUGGGUGUAAAGGGCGUGCAGGCGGGCUGAUAAGUCAGAUGUGAAAUCCCCGAGCUUAACUCGGGAACUGCAUCUGAUACUGUUGGGCUUGAGUGCUGGGGAGGAUAGUGGAAUUCCUAGUGUAGCGGUAAAAUGCGCAGAUAUUAGGAGGAACACCAGUGGCGAAGGCGGCUAUCUGGACAGUAACUGACGCUGAGGCGCGAAAGCGUGGGUAGCAAACAGG
rnacentral:rRNA from 1 species